rnacentral:rRNA from 1 species
AUACGGAGGGUGCAAGCGUUAUCCGGAUUUAUUGGGUUUAAAGGGUGCGUAGGCGGCUCUUUAAGUCAGUGGUGAAAGCCUGGCGCUUAACGCCAGAAAUGCCAUUGAUACUGGAGAGCUUGAGUCAAGAAGAGGUAAGCAGAAUUCAUGGUGUAGCGGUGAAAUGCUUAGAUACCAUGAGGAAUUCCAAUAGCGAAGGCAGCUUACUGGUCUUUGACUGACGCUGAGGCACGAAAGCGUGGGGAGCGAACAGGAUUAGAAACCCUAGGUAGUCC